rfam:Ictidomys tridecemlineatus contig037648, whole genome shotgun sequence.
AUCGUUUUCUGAUUCCUAAGCAUGAUUAUUGGGAUUUUACAGCAGCCUGUGAGAUGUGUUUUCCUCAAAUCUUGUUAUAAUAUCAGUACAUUACUCGUCUGGCU